rnacentral:lncRNA from 1 species
UUCAUAUAUUGUCUUUGCAGCAGUUACAGGUCCAUAUGCAUGCUUCAUAACACCAGUGAAUUCGUUCAACCAUGAUGGCUCGACUUCGUGCAUCUCCACAUCUUGACCUCUUUCAGCAUGGGGAUUUGCAGGAAGGCAGAAAUCCUCAUGCAUAACAUGAGGGAAGAAAUCCUUCCUGCGUUUACUGCAAACAGGACAAAGGUCCAUCCCAUCACCAUUAGAAUGAUUUGACUGUGAAGAUAAAUUCAAACUCGAAACAUUAAGUGACUUUUUA